rnacentral:lncRNA from 1 species
UAGCGAAAAUUUUGGUGUCAUCAAUAUAAAAUCAAUAUACAAUGUAUUUAUAUUUAGUUAUAUGCGGGCUUCUUCACUUACCCAUUUACAUCCUUAGGCCUAAUUCCUAAAAUAGGCCACGAUUACAUCUGGGUUGGAUAAAUCAUACAUACCAUAGACUACCUCUGGAUUGGAUAAACCAUAUACACCAUAUCAUACCAACCUCCCAUAAGCUUUCAUGUCUGCUCUGCAUAAAAGGGGCAAUGUUGGGAUUAUUUGGCCUAGCCAUGUCCUACAUGGGUCUUACUUGCUUAUUCCAGUUAUCACAUACACCACAUUUUUCUCUAGAAAGCACGACAUACAUUUUUCUCCGAAUAGUUCAAACAUCACAAACACUACAUCACAAACUCAGUAACAUAUGUUUGAAACACACAACUAAGUAUUUCUCCCAAAACGAGAGAGAAGUUAUUACACUCAGCCGCCCAACCAUAUGUGAACACAUCAUGCAUCGCCGGAUCCAACAAUUUUCAUUUUGAGAUCAUAAGCUCUGGCAAACAAUUCCUCUCUGUUUUUCUGCAAGUGGUAAAUAAGUGGUGAAGAGGUUGGACAUAGUAGAGUGCACACCAAAAGAAAGUACUUAUGAAGCAAAUAGAUACAUACCUUAAAAAGAAGAUACCGUGAGCUGAACCAAACCGUGUAUCCGAGGCCCACCAUCUCCAGUAUUCUUGGGAGCUAUGGGCAGGAUAACAAUCAGUUAAAGAUCUAUGAUGGCAGAAGAAUUUUACAUUCAUAUGGCAGAAGAAUUUUACAUUCAUCCAGAGAUCUAAUGACUACUGACCAAGGGGAUGGAGUCAAUUGCUGAAACAACAGCGGACAAAACCCAUCCGGCAAAGAAAGCACCGGUGCCAUAUAUGACAUAUGUGGCCAUCUCCUUCAAGCCCAACUGGAGCAUUUCAACAAACAAUUAGAAGAAUCAACCACACGUGCAAAGAAAUAAUGUAUAACAAACCAUAUUAAUUUGUUUCUGCAAAUGAUAUACAGCCUAGUGGGACGCAAAAAUUCAUGUUUCUACUGAAAACUAGAAACUAUAAAAGCUUUAGUUAGGUUAAGCUGUUUUAUUGCCUUGCAAAAUUUAGGACCCACAAAUUCAUCCUUCUAAACAUGUUCACAACCGUACUAGCUCAAUUCUAGGAGUACAUAAUAAUAAGAUUGUAAUAUUUCUUUGGAAUGGCUAGGAGCCAGUCGACUGAAAAUUUCUUUUGGAAGAUUUUGGCAGGAUCAAUCUCAAGCGUUAGAUCAAAAAGGAACAGUUUGUAUUAUGUCUUCUUCCUCCUUCCCAAAAACAGAUCGCCUGUGUUCUACUUCCUCCGCCGCAUGUUUCUACCGGCCGGGCCGCCUGCUGCCGCCCUCGCGACCUACUCGUUGCACCACCCGCCCCUAAACGGCCCCCACUGCCGGCCUUGCCGCCGCCCCCGGCCAUCCCUCUAACCCCGGACGAUGACCGGUUUUUCUCCGACGAACUUGCACCACCGCCGUGCUGCCACCCUCAACCACCGAUGUGCUGCCUCCCCAUCCCCCACCCUAAGAUAGACGAUGGGGUAGCCUGCCAGCGAGCUUCUUCCUCCCCUCCGGUUAUUUCUCCCUUCUAGCGAAAUUGACUAACCCAAAUUCAAAAGCGACUGACAUGUAGCUACUGUGCAUUUCUUUCUGUAUAACUCCACACCAAGAUCCAGAACAACUCCUCUACCCUCCAUCUAAACAUAUCCACACAGUACCUGGGACACAAUACAACAAACAAGUGGCGUGCAAAACAGGAAUGUCACCUUGUUGGCAGCCUCCUCGUCACCGGCGAUGCCCAACGCCACCAAGUUGUGCCCGAACGGCGCGGCCGCGGCCAUCCUUAUUGCCGCUGCAACCCCCACCUCCGUGCCAGAGCAACGUAGCCCUGUAAAAACACAUCACAACAACAAAAGAAUCCUCAGGUUAGGCUUUCAUCCGUUCGGCCGGUAAAACCGGUGAGCGUGAGUGAGAGCGUCCUGUUCCCGAACUAGACCUGUAGUUGGGAGGCUGCGGCGGCGGAGGGAGAGACGGGCGGACACCGGAGCGGUGAGGGCGAUGUUGCACGGGGGUGCGCGUCGGUGCGGGAGGCGAGGAAGGGCGACGACGGCGGGGGUGCUGAUGCAGAGCAAGGCCGCCAUUGCGUCAACUUUGUUCCGUCGCAGUUCGAGUAUCUGCCGAGGCUGUGAGGGCGAUGGCUUCGCGGCGCUCUAUAUAUACACCCGCAUUCGUGUUGCUUUGUUUGGCUUUUUUAUAAUUGUUUUCUGAGAGAGUUCGUCUGGCCUUUUUGUUUUUUUAGAAGAGUUUGCUUGGCUUUGUUUGUGAGUAUGUAUGUUUGUUUCUACGAUAUUUGGAGUGUUCUUAAACCGACAGUAGCAUGUCCAUUUGACAGCUUAUGUAUACCUUUUCUACUGCGUUUGGAGUGUAGCCAUGCCAACUUUUGUCGCGAUUUAUUUAUGUAUACCUGUGCGUUUCUACUACUGACCGUUCUUUUUGAGAUGCGUCUCUACCAACCAUGAAUUGCAUGCAGCACACCUUUGUCCGGAGCAUGUGUUUGUCACAUCUACGAUCGUGCUGUAUUUGUUUGGGCUUGCUUAUGCACCCGUGUUUUUUUGUUGAGCAUACAUGUGUGCUUCUAAGGUCAGUCGCCUCAGCGAAGGCAUUGAGGAUGUGGCACAAGGCCAAGAGCUCGUCUUUGUCAGGACUAGCGAAAAUUUCCGUGUCAUCAAGAUAAAAUCAAUGUACAGUGCAUUUAGAUUUAGUUAUAUGCGGGAUUGCCCGCUUACCCGCUUGCAUCCUUAUUCCUUAUACCUAGUUCCUAAAAUAGGCUACGACCACCUCUGGGUUGGAUAAACCAUACACACCAUAGACUACCUCUGGGUUGGAUAAAUCAAACACACCAUAUCAUACCAAUCUCCCAUAAGCUUUCAUGUUCGCUCUGCAUAAAAGAGGCAAUGUUGGAUGCAUUUGGCCUAGCCAUGUCCUACAUGGGCCUUACUUGCUUAUUCCAGCUAUCACAUACACCACAUUUUUCUCUAAAAAAUACGGCAUACAUUCUCUCCCAAUAGUUCAAACAGUACGGACACUACAUCACAAAUUCAGUAAGCAUAUUAUUGGAACACACAACUUAGCAUUUCUCCCAAUACGAGAGAGAAAUUACACUCAGCCGCCCAAUCAUAUGCGAAGAC